CAUAUCAUGUUGAAACACUGGUUCUGGUCUGUUCACCAAAGUUAAGCAACAUCAAACCUGGACAGUACCUAGAUGGGUGACCACUUGGGAAUACCAGGGUCUGUAA